rnacentral:rRNA from 1 species
CACUGGGACUGAGACACGGCCCAGACUCGUACGGGAGGCAGCAGUGGGGAAUAUUGCACAAUGGGCGAAAGCCUGAUGCAGCGACGCCGCGUGAGGGAUGACGGCCUUCGGGUUGUAAACCUCUUUCAGCAGGGAAGAAGCGAAAGUGACGGUACCUGCAGAAGAAGCGCCGGCUAACUACGUGCCAGCAGCCGCGGUAAUACGUAGGGCGCAAGCGUUGUCCGGAAUUAUUGGGCGUAAAGAGCUCGUAGGCGGCUUGUCACGUCGGUUGUGAAAGCCCGGGGCUUAACCCCGGGUCUGCAGUCGAUACGGGCAGGAUAGAGUUCGGUAGGGGAGAUCGGAAUUCCUGGUGUAGCGGUGAAAUGCGCAGAUAUCAGGAGGAACACCGGUGGCGAAGGCGGAUUUGUGGGCCGAUACUGACGCUGAGGAGCGAAAGCGUGGGGAGCGAACAGGAUUAGAUACCCUGGUAGUCCACGCCGUAAACGGUGGGCACUAGGUGUGGGCAACAUUACACGUUGUCCGUGCUGCAGCUAACGCAUUAAGUGCCCCGCCUGGGGAGUACGGCCGCAAGGCUAAAACUCAAAGGAAUUGACGGGGGCCCGCACAAGCGGCGGAGCAUGUGGGUUAAUUGGACGCAACGCGAAGAACCUUACCAAGGCUUGACAUACACCGGAAAACCCUGGAGACAGGGUCCCCCUUGUGGUCGGUGUACAGGUGGUGCAUGGCUGUC